rnacentral:rRNA from 1 species
UACGUAAGUGGCGAGCGUUAUCCGGAAUUACUGGGCGUAAAGCGUGCGUAGGCGGUUUAGUGUGUGGGAAUUGAAAGCCCGGGGCUCAACUCCGGAUCCGGUUCCCAAACUGCUAGACUCGAGAGUAUCAGAGGAGAGCGGAAUUCCCGGUGUAGCGGUAAUAUGCGUAGAUAUCGGGAGGAACACCAGUGGCGAAGGCAAUCCCCUGGACCUGUACUGACGCUCGUGCACGAAAGCGUGGGGAGCAAACAGG